ensembl:lncRNA
GGUAGAAUAGCAUAUGGACGAACAGCCCAUGGCUUUCAUUGAAAUGCUAUACCAUCGAUAUGCUCUCAUUGGGUUCAAAUCCCCACCUGACCACUUACCAACUCAGGAAAAUGACUUAACCACCCUGGGUCUCAGCUUUCUUAUAUAUUAAAUUAGGAUAAUAACACUUACAAGGCUAUUGAGAAAUGAGUUAAAUUAUGCACAGUAGUGCCUGGCAUUAGGAAGAGCUCAGUCCAUGUUACCUUCACGGUGUUGUUACUCACAGAGUUUUUGACGUUGAGAACUAUGUGAGUUUUUAGGCCAGGUUUUUCUUUUUUUUUAAGUGAAGAGAACUGUGAGACUGAGGCUCAGGAAGGCUAAAUGCCUCCCUCACAGUCACACAGCUGCAUGGGACGAGCCAGUACAACUAUCUAGGUCUCCAGACUCACAGCCCAGUGUCUUUCUAGUGCCUCUGCUGCUGACUUUCUUGCAGAGGAGAAUACAUGCAAGGAAUGAAGCAGAAAGGUCAAGCCUUUAUUAUUGCCCUGAAGUUGUGUAGCUCAAGACAGCGGUGCUUGUGGUUGGCUCUUUAGCUUGGUUGAUCUUGAGCUAAAAGGAGCAUGUCCUCUGGCAGUUUUUGGUGGUGGACUUCAGGGACCAGGCUAGCUGGCUUGAGAUUCUCCCUCCAAGUGUCCAUCCUGAGCAGGCCUUUCCUAACUGCACAUCCCUGCUGAUUUUCAAGGACGAGUGAGCAGACAUCUUCCUGGCACUGGCUCUCUGGGAAAAGCCCUGGGGUUGCCUGGAAACAGAGGUCAUGGAGCUCUUUGAGAAACCCAUACAAGUUCUGUUCAAUCAGCAUGGCUGAGUCCCUACAAAGUGCCCAAUACAGUGCUAUACUCUGGGGAAACAGGAAGCAGAUCAUAGUCUCCUCCUGUUACCUUGCUGACAUUUUAGUUCAUCUUGACUGAAUCCCACGAUUGGUUAUUGAUCAGGGAGGGCUUGACAGGGAGACAGAGAACUCACAGUUGGCAAGACCCCUAGCAUAUCUGGUCCUGCAUCAUGCCCCUUUCCUGACCUCGACAGUCUCCCGGAACCUGCAUCUCGCCUUCUGAUUCUGCCAGGAUGAUUUGUGCUUGACAUUGCUCUGAUCUGUUUAGUUCCACUUAAAUCUAUAGAGCACUGAUAGUGUGCUGAGCACUCCGCUUGUGCUGGAAGACAUAAAAGGAGAAGACCUUGGGAUGAAUGUGUCCUGGAGGAGCUGAUGUUCUACUCAGGUAGUAAGACUGCCACCCUCUUCUAAGGAAGAAGUUGUCAGAUGCUCAGGAGAGGUUAGUGAGCCCUCCAUGCCACAUGGGAGAAACCAGCAUCUUGGACUUUUCACUCAGAGGGGAAGGCUGAGUCCUGGGAGGGAUUCAAAAAUCCAUAAGAACGUGGUGUUGGAAACCACCUGUCACAGAACAGAAAUAAUUCAGGAUUAGAGCAAGGCUAUUGGUUCUCCCAGAUGCCUAUGCAGGAGCUGGAGCUAUUCACUCCCUGUCCCUUUCAUUUGGGCUCUUGCAUCAUCUUCAACUGCAGCUCACAGUCACCUACUAUAAGAAUAUGUUCUUGAAGCAAGGGUGUUUUGAGCCAAAGUGUGCUUGC